AUUUAAAUAAUUUAAUUAAAAUAUUGAUUUGUGGAGUCAAAUAUAUGAAAUGUUUCAUUUUAAAUU
rnacentral:tRNA from 1 species